GCGGGAGUGCCGGAGUGGUCAAACGGGCUAGAGACAGCUAAGCUAAGGACCUAGUGGCUUAGUGCCUACGCAGGUUCGAGUCCUGUCUCCCGCA
rnacentral:tRNA from 1 species